rnacentral:SRP_RNA from 1 species
CCCCGGGCCCUGUGCAAUGCAACCCUCGAACCAUGUCAGGUCCGGAAGGAAGCAGCAUUAAGAGGAUCCCUGCAUGUGCAACGGGAUCCCCGGGGUCC